UAUAUCUUACAUUCAUUUAGUACUUCUAUAAGAUUGACAAUGUCUUAUGGAAUAAACUACAUAGAUUCAACAUAUUAGAUCAAAACUCAUUGAGGAGAAUACACCAGUGAAAAAACAGCUGUAAAUCCAAAAGAAAAUAGUGAAAAUAGUUAUUAUUCCCAUUGCUGAAGGAAUUUUACGGUUUUAUUAAUAAUUUAAAUGUGGAUUUUAGCUUUUAAUUUUAUUUGUACUCAUUUGGUUUUUUUAUUUAUUCCAGAGUAAAUAAUGAAAUAAAACACAACAGUGAAGAAACUAAGUUGGAAUUUGAGAUGAUUGCUGGAAAUGAACAUGUAGUUGAUUUUGAAUUUGAAUUUAAGAAACUAGUGGAUCCAUAUGGCAGGUACAAGCUGUUUUUGUUGAGAUAUAUUGAUAGUAAAGGACUGUUCUACACAAAAGUUGGAAAAGGAAUUGAACAUUUCUAUAUUAAUGUUCUGAAGAAUGGAAGAAAGAUUGAGGGCAAGGUUGAAUUAACUAAGACUUCAUCCCAUCUUGUUGGCUUUGGUGAACUAUUAUGGGAUGCCAAAAAAGACCGUAGUAAAAGAAUUUAUGUUUAAACGGAUACUUCAGUUACUGGAAAAUCUAUUUACACUAAGAACAACUUACAAGUUUUGGAGCAUAAGACAGAAGUAAUUAUAAAAGGAACUAAGGAAGGUACUCUGCUUGAUGGAACUCUUAAAGGGGAAGCUGAAGUUGUUCUACCAUCUGGCAGAAUAGUGGUUGGUAAAAUUGAUAGAUCUUUGGACUUGGUUUCUGAAAAUAAUAAGAUUGAAGGAACUUGGGAACUUGCAAACUACGCCUCCAGGAGUGCACAGCCACAAAAAUUGACUCUGAAACUGGAUGGCAAGAAAACCAAUUCUGAGAAUAUGCAAUUUGAUACACAAAUGGACCUGACAUAUAUGGCAAUCAACAAAGAGGACAUGGUACUACAACUUGUGGCCAAGAAAUUGCACCAGGAUGAUAAAUGUACCAUUAUUGGGCAGGGCUCAUUAACUGGAUCCUUAGUGAACACUCAAUAUAUUCUAAGAUGAACAUAGAAGUAACUGAACAGCUGCUCAAGGGACGGAUGACAGAUGAUGGAAAGUUUCCUGCUGCUCAUUAUGACUUUGAACUGAAGGUUGGCAAUGAAAUUGAAGUGGCUUCAAAUGGGGAAAUCAGCCAGGACCAACUUAAAAAUGACAUUGAGAUCAAACUACCGUCUGAACUUGCGAUCAGGUUAUUUAAGUGGCACAUGUUCCAUGAAUCAAAAAAAGAAAAUAAUACAAAUAAGAUCACUAGCGCCAAUGUUAUUCAUUGGAAUGGGAAUAAGUUUAUUAAAUAUAAUGCUGAAUUCUACGAAAAGUCAGGCAAACCAUCAUGGGGAAAUAUCAUGGGAAACUCAUGAGCAAAGCCCACAUACCCUAAGUUACAGUAUAAAUGACAUUGUGAGGAAGGUAGACUUGGAUCUUGCUCUGGAAUGGGAAGGCGAGGAAGCUGACUUCAGUUUGAAAGAAGAUAUUGCAUCAGAGCCUGCUUAUUUAAAAAUUUCUAGCAAUGUACCUGAUCAUGGGAAGUUUGAAAUUGAUAUUAAUCCAAGAAUGAUUAUGAAUCUACAGAAACUUUAAUCACCAUUAUAGGAAAUGGCAAGAAGACAGCUUUUCACGCUCUGUAUUCAAAGAGUAGAACAUGUCCUUCCCUUGACAUUGGUUUAGAAUUACCAAAAGGAAAGACUAGAUUUUACGGAAAAUUGAAAACAUUAGGAGGAGAAGCACACUAUUUAAUAGAAAGCAAAGUUGAGUGGAUUACAAAUGGUGGUGGUACUUUAGAUGUCAAUGGUGAAAUGAAUGUUAAGAGCUUUGAUGACGUAUUUGUAAAACUAUUUAUUGACAGUCCAAAACUUAACAUGAAUAAAGUGGAAUUUGAGGCUGGCAGACUAUUUACAAAAUCAGAUGUUAAGACUAUUUAUUUCCGUGGAAAAGCUAAUGAGAAACUAAUUUCUGGCAGCUUUACAAGGGUGCCAAAAGAAGACACUCUUUAUGAGGGAAAAGGUUUUUUUGAAGGUUGGUGAAGAAAGUUGUCCACUUCAUUUAAAAUUGAUAUACGAUGUAGAGAAAGUAAAUCAAAACGAGGUAGUGCAGGUAGUGUUUGACAUGAAGGCUGGAAAAGUACUCAUAUUAUUCCCGCACAGUAGCCUUCACUGAUGAAGCUCAUGGGGUGCACGAAGUUAAGACAGUGAACAAAUAUUGCAAUGGUGACAAGUGUAAAUAUGAGGAGUUCAAGCUCAGCGAACAUAUAACAGAAACUAUGGAAUAUGAGAGGAAAAUUGAACUGCAGCUUUCAAUGUCGCUGUUUUUUGUGUUGGAACACCCACUGACACUGAAGAGUCACAUGAAGACACAAGGCUUAGAAUAUGAUCACAUUCUAGAGGCUCAAUAUGGACCAGACAAAAUUGAAUACCAUGGAUAUGUCAAGAAAGACUGUGCAGGUAAAGAGUCAGAUUUCAAAUAAAAACUUUUGUCUACAUGAAAGACACACUUACUGUCACUGUUAUUAAUCUAGUUCAAGAAUUAAGAUUGUUUAUUGCUGUCCCACAAUAAGAAUUAGCAAUUUCACUGGAUUGGUAUAAAUUAGCUACACCAUUUGUCACAUUUCGUUAAACUACUUUCU